AAAAGCAAGAAAGGGCACAUGGCGGAUGCCUUGGCUCUCGGAGGCGAUGAAGGACGUGAUAAGCUGCGAUAAGCUGCGGGUAGGUGCAAAUGACCUUUGAUCCGCGGAUUUCCGAAUGGGACAACCCAAUGUCUUGAAGAGACAUUAUCCCGCAAUGCGGGAGGCUAACGCAGGGAACUGAAACAUCUUAGUACCUGCAGGAAGAGAAAAUAAAUAAUGAUUCCCCUAGUAGUGGCGAGCGAACGGGGAAGAGCCCAAACCAGAUAUGUUACGGCAUAUCUGGGGUUGUAGGACCGCGCCGUUGCAAGAAAUCUCGUGAGUGGAACCUUCUGGAAAGUAGGUCCAUAGAGGGUGACAGGCCCGUACACGAAGCGAGACGAAGCAUAGCGGUAUCCUGAGUAGCGCGGAGCACGAGGAAUUCUGCGUGAAUCUGCCGGGACCAUCCGGUAAGGCUAAAUACUCCCGAGAGACCGAUAGUGAACCAGUACUGUGAAGGAAAGGUGAAAAGCACUUCGAAUAGAAGAGUGAAAUAGUACCUGAAACCAUGUGCCUACAAGCGGUCGGAGCGCGUAAGCGUGACGGCGUGCCUUUUGCAUAAUGAACCUACGAGUUGCUUUUUCCGGCAAGGUUAAGGGUCUAGAGACCUGUAGCCGAAGCGAAAGCGAGUCUGAAUAGGGCGUACAGUCGGAAGGAGCAGACGCGAAACCAAGUGAUCUACCCUUGGCCAGGCUGAAGGAUGGGUAACACCAUCUGGAGGGCCGAACCAAUAAGCGUUGAAAAGCUUCUGGAUGAGCUGAGGGUGGGGGUGAAAGGCUAAUCAAACUUGGAGAUAGCUCGUACUCCCCGAAAUGCAUUUAGGUGCAGCCUUGACUUAUACUGACGUGAGGUAGAGCGACUGAUAAGAUGCGAGGGCUUCACCGCCUAUCAAGUCUUGACAAACUCCGAAUGCGCGUCAGUUUUAUGUCAGGAGUGAGGGCAUGGGUGCUAAGGUCCAUGUCCGAGAGGAGAACAAUCCGGACCAACAGCUAAGGUCCCGAAAUGAAUACUAAGUUGAACUAACGAAGUCAGAUUGCUAAGACAGCUAGGAUGUUGGCUUGGAAGCAGCCAUUCAUUUAAAGAGUGCGUAACAGCUCACUAGUCGAGGAGUUUGGCGUGGAUAAUAAUCGGGCAUUAAGUGUUUUACCGAAGCUAUGGGAUCAGUAAUGAUCGGUAGGGGAGCAUUCCACUCUGCGUCGAAGGUGAAGCGUGAGCUUUGCUGGAGCGUGUGGAAAAGCAAAUGUAGGUAUAAGUAACGAUAAAGGGGGUGGGAAACCCCCUCGCCGAAAGACUAAGGUUUCCUGAUCAACGCUAAUCGGAUCAGGGUAAGUCGGGUCCUAAGGCUCAGCCGAACGGCGAGGCCGAUGGCAGAACCGGUUAAUAUUCCGGUACUACCGAAUGGAGUGACGUGGGGACGGAGUCGUGACAGUGCCGCCGGCUGACGGAAUAGCCGGUUAAAGGGUGUAGAUGUUGAUUGCUGCAGGCAAAUCCGCAGCGAGAGUCGAACCUGACAGUAUGGAGCGUCCUUCGGGACAAUCCAAUAGCGCACGUAAGCAUACUCCCGAGAAAAUCCGCUAAACUUAAUCCUUUCGGUACCCGUACCGCAAACGGACACACGUAGUCGGGUUGAAUAUACUAAGGCGCUUGAGUGAUUCACGGUUAAGGAACUAGGCAAACUGACCCUGUAACUUCGGGAUAAAGGGUCCUCAUCAGUGAUGGUGAGGCGCAGAGAAUCGGUCCAGGCAACUGUUUAACAAAAACACAGGGCUGUGCAAAAUUGAAAGAUGAAGUAUACAGCCUGACACCUGCCCGGUGCUGGAAGGUUAAGAGGAGACGUCAUCGCAAGAGAAGCGUUGAAUUGAAGCCCCAGUAAACGGCGGCCGUAACUAUAACGGUCCUAAGGUAGCGAAAUUCCUUGUCGGGU
rnacentral:rRNA from 1 species